AGAGAACACUGUACUGUAUCUAGGUGAGAUGAUGGAGAGAACACUGUGCUGUAUCUAGGUGAGAUGAUGAUGGAGAGAACACUGUACUGUAUCUAGGUGAGAUGAUGAUGGAGAGAACACUGUACUAUAUCUAGGUAAGAUGAUGAUGGAGAGAACACUGUACUGUAUCUAGGUGAGAUGAUGAUGGAGAGAACACUGUACUGUAUCUAGGUGAGAUGAUGAUGGAGAGAACACUGUACUGUAUCUAGGUGAGAUGAUGGAGAGAACACUGUACUGUAUCUAGGUGAGAUGAUGAUGGAGAGAACACUGUACUGUAUCUAGGUGAGAUGAUGAUGGAGAGAACACUGUACUGUAUCUAUGUGAGAUGAUGAUGGAGAGAACACUGUACUGUAUCUAGGUGAGAUGGUGAUGGAGAGAACACUGUACUGUAUCUAGGUGAGAUGAUGAUGGAGAGAACACUAUACUGUAUCUAGGUGAGAUGAUAAUGGAGGGAACACUGUACUGUAUCUAGGUAAGAUGAUGAUGGAGAGAACACUAUACUGUAUCUAGGUGAGAUGAUGAUGGAGAGAACACUGUACUGUAUCUAGGUAAGAUGAUGAUGGAGAGAACACUAUACUGUAUCUAGGUGAGAUGAUGAUGGAGAGAACACUGUACUGUAUCUAGGUGAGAUGAUGAUGGAGAGAACACUGUACUGUAUCUAGGUGAGAUGAUGAUGGAGAGAACACUGUACUGUAUCUAGGUGAGAUGAUGGAGAGAACACUGUACUGUAUCUAGGUGAGAUGAUGAUGGAGAGAACACUAUACUGUAUCUAGGUGAGAUGAUGAUGGAGAGAACACUGUACUGUAUCUAGGUGAGAUGAUGGAGAGAACACUACUGUAUCUAGGUGAGAUGAUGGAGAGAACACUGUACUGUAUCUAGGUGAGAUGAUGAUGGAGAGAACACUGUACUGUAUCUAGGUGAGAUGAUGAUGGAGAGAACACUGUACUGUAUCUAGGUGAGAUGAUGGAGAGAACACUACUGUAUCUAGGUGAGAUGAUGGAGAGAACACUGUACUGUAUCUAGGUGAGAUGAUGAUGGAGAGAACACUGUACUGUAUCUAGGUGAGAUGAUGAUGGAGAGAACACUAUACUGUAUCUAGGUGAGAUGAUGAUGGAGAGAACACUGUACUGUAUCUAGGUGAGAUGAUGAUGGAGAGAACACUGUACUGUAUCUAGGUGAGAUGAUGAUGGAGAGAACACUGUACUGUAUCUAGGUGAGAUGAUGGAGAGAACACUACUGUAUCUAGGUGAGAUGAUGGAGAGAACACUGUACUGUAUCUAGGUGAGAUGAUGAUGGAGAGAACACUGUACUGUAUCUAGGUGAGAUGAUGAUGGAGAGAACACUAUACUGUAUCUAGGUGAGAUGAUGAUGGAGAGAACACUGUACUGUAUCUAGGUGAGAUGAUGAUGGAGAGAACACUGUACUGUAUCUAGGUGAGAUGAUGAUGGAGAGAACACUGUACUGUAUCUAGGUAAGAUGAUGAUGGAGAGAACACUGUACUGUAUCUAGGUGAGAUGAUGAUGGAGAGAACACUGUACUGUAUCUAGGUGAGAUGAUGAUGGAGAGAACACUAUUCUGUAUCUAGGUGAGAUGAUGGAGAGAACACUGUACUGUAUCUAGGUGAGAUGAUGAUGGAGAGAACACUGUACUGUAUCUAGGUAAGAUGAUGAUGGAGAGAACACUGUACUGUAUCUAGGUGAGAUGAUGAUGGAGAGAACACUGUACUGUAUCUAGGUGAGAUGAUGAUGGAGAGAACACUGUACUGUAUCUAGGUGAGAUGAUGAUGGAGAGAACACUGUACUGUAUCUAGGUGAGAUGAUGAUGGAGAGAACACUAUACUGUAUCUAGGUGAGAUGAUGAUGGAGAGAACACUGUACUGUAUCUAGGUGAGAUGAUGAUGGAGAGAACACUAUACUGUAUCUAGGUGAGAUGAUGAUGGAGAGAACACUAUACUGUAUCUAGGUGAGAUGAUGAUGGAGAGAACACUAUACUGUAUCUAGGUGAGAUGAUGAUGGAGAGAACACUAUACUGUAUCUAGGUGAGAUGAUGAUGGAGAGAACACUGUACUGUAUCUAGGUGAGAUGAUGAUGGAGAGAACACUAUACUGUAUCUAGGUGAGAUGAUGAUGGAGAGAACACUGUACUGUAUCUAGGUGAGAUGAUGAUGGAGAGAACACUGUACUGUAUCUAGGUGAGAUGAUGAUGGAGAGAACACUGUACUGUAUCUAGGUGAGAUGAUGAUGGAGAGAACACUAUACUGUAUCUAGGUGAGAUGAUGAUGGAGAGAACACUAUACUGUAUCUAGGUGAGAUGAUGAUGGAGAGAACACUAUACUGUAUCUAGGUGAGAUGAUGAUGGAGAGAACACUAUACUGUAUCUAGGUGAGAUGAUGAUGGAGAGAACACUGUACUGUAUCUAGGUGAGAUGAUGAUGGAGAGAACACUAUACUGUAUCUAGGUGAGAUGAUGAUGGAGAGAACACUGUACUGUAUCUAGGUGAGAUGAUGAUGGAGAGAACACUGUACUGUAUCUAGGUGAGAUGAUGAUGGAGAGAACACUGUACUGUAUCUAGGUGAGAUGAUGAUGGAGAGAACACUGUACUGUAUCUAGGUGAGAUGAUGAUGGAGAGAACACUGUACUGUAUCUAGGUAAGAUGAUGAUGGAGAGAACACUGUACUGUAUCUAGGUGAGAUGAUGAUGGAGAGAACACUGUACUGUAUCUAGGUGAGAUGAUGAUGGAGAGAACACUGUACUGUAUCUAGGUAAGAUGAUGAUGGAGAGAACACUGUACUGUAUCUAGGUGAGAUGAUGAUGGAGAGAACACUAUACUGUAUCUAGGUGAGAUGAUGAUGGAGAGAACACUAUACUGUAUCUAGGUGAGAUGAUGAUGGAGAGAACACUAUACUGUAUCUAGGUGAGAUGAUGAUGGAGAGAACACUAUACUGUAUCUAGGUGAGAUGAUGAUGGAGAGAACACUGUACUGUAUCUAGGUGAGAUGAUGAUGGAGAGAACACUAUACUGUAUCUAGGUGAGAUGAUGAUGGAGAGAACACUGUACUGUAUCUAGGUGAGAUGAUGAUGGAGAGAACACUGUACUGUAUCUAGGUGAGAUGAUGAUGGAGAGAACACUGUACUGUAUCUAGGUGAGAUGAUGAUGGAGAGAACACUGUACUGUAUCUAGGUGAGAUGAUGAUGGAGAGAACACUGUACUGUAUCUAGGUAAGAUGAUGAUGGAGAGAACACUGUACUGUAUCUAGGUGAGAUGAUGAUGGAGAGAACACUGUACUGUAUCUAGGUGAGAUGAUGAUGGAGAGAACACUGUACUGUAUCUAGGUAAGAUGAUGAUGGAGAGAACACUGUACUGUAUCUAGGUGAGAUGAUGAUGGAGAGAACACUGUACUGUAUCUAGGUGAGAUGAUGAUGGAGAGAACACUGUACUGUAUCUAGGUGAGAUGAUGGAGAGAACACUGUACUGUAUCUAGGUGAGAUGAUGAUGGAGAGAACACUGUACUGUAUCUAGGUGAGAUGAUGAUGGAGAGAACACUGUACUGUAUCUAUGUGAGAUGAUGAUGGAGAGAACACUGUACUGUAUCUAGGUGAGAUGAUGAUGGAGAGAACACUGUACUGUAUCUAGGUGAGAUGAUGAUGGAGAGAACACUAUACUGUAUCUAGGUGAGAUGAUGAUGGAGAGAACACUAUACUGUAUCUAGGUAAGAUGAUGAUGGAGAGAACACUGUACUGUACCUAGGUGAGAUGAUGAUGGAGAGAACACUGUACUGUAUCUAGGUGAGAUGAUGAUGGAGAGAACACUGUACUGUAUCUAGGUGAGAUGAUGAUGGAGAGAACACUGUACUGUAUCUAGGUGAGAUGAUGAUGGAGAGAACACUGUACUGUAUCUAGGUGAGAUGAUGGAGAGAACACUGUACUGUAUCUAGGUGAGAUGAUGAUGGAGAGAACACUAUACUGUAUCUAGGUGAGAUGAUGAUGGAGAGAACACUGUACUGUAUCUAGGUGAGAUGAUGGAGAGAACACUACUGUAUCUAGGUGAGAUGAUGGAGAGAACACUGUACUGUAUCUAGGUGAGAUGAUGAUGGA